rnacentral:lncRNA from 1 species
CCUGAAGGUCACGCUGAAUUCGGACACUGGAGAAGAGAAAGGAGAAGGCCAUUCUGGCUACCCUAGGACUCACAGACGACUUUAAAGAAGAAUCAGAAAAUGGAGACUGGGAUUGGAAGCAGAGAUCCGAUGGCCAAAUUACAGAGUCUGCCACUGAAGCUAACACACCUAUGGAUAACCCAACCUGUAAACUCAAUGUGGAACACAGUUUGAGAAAAGAAGUGAGAAGAUUCAAUUUUGAAGUUGGAUCACUCUCCUACAGGCAAUGAAGACCACAUCACUGAUGGUAGGGUGAAUGUUCUCGUACCUCACAAAGUGGCAGUCCACUUCUUAAAACAUCCACUAUGCAUGGAGAAAACCAUGGUGAUAAGGAUAAUGGACUG